rnacentral:rRNA from 1 species
UACAGAGGUCUCAAGCGUUGUUCGGAUUCAUUGGGCGUAAAGGGUGUGUAGGUGGCGCGCUAAGUCGGGUGUGAAAUUUCGGAGCUUAACUCCGAAACUGCAUUCGAUACUGCCGUGCUUGAGGACUGGAGAGGAGACUGGAAUUUACGGUGUAGCGGUGAAAUGCGUAGAUAUCUGCAGGAACACCCGUGGCGAAAGCGGCGCGCUGGACCACUACUGACGCUGAAGAACGAAAGCUAGGGGAGCAAACAGG